rnacentral:rRNA from 1 species
GGAACAGGACGUCACAGAGGGUGAGAAUCCCGUGCGGCACGGCCCCCGGCUCCUUAUAAGGCGCUCUCGACGAGUCGAGUUGUUUGGGAAUGCAGCUCAAAGUGGGUGGUAAAUUCCAUCUAAAGCUAAAUACAGGCGAGAGACCGAUAGCGAACAAGUACAGUGAUGGAAAGAUGAAAAGCACUUUGAAAAGAGAGUGAAACAGCACGUGAAAUUGUUGAAAGGGAAGGGCAUGCCGUCAGAUUGUCAGUGUGGGUAAGAAGCGGGGUACAAAGACUGUGGAACGUGGCCCUCGGGUGUUAUAGCCGCAGUUCAUGCCCCGUCUCUUUCCGAGGCCUGCUUUGAGGACACCGACGUAAUGACGGUACGCCGCCCGUC